AGAAGAUUAGCAUGGGCCCCUGCGAAAGGAUGACACGCAAAUCCGUGAAGCGCUCCUUAUUUUC
rnacentral:snRNA from 8 species